GUGAGUCAUCGAAUCUUUGAACGCACAUUGCGCCCCUUGGUAUUCCGAGGGGCAUGCCCGUUCGAGCGUCAUUAUAACCCCUCAAGCCUAGCUUGGUGUUGGGGCCUGCUGUUACCGGCAGCCCUUAAAAUCAGUGGCGGUGUCAUCUGGCUCUAAGCGUAGUAAUACUUCUCGCUACAGGGUCCCGGUGGAUGCUUGCCAUCAACCCCUAAUUUUCUAUGGUUGACCUCGGAUCGGGUAGGGAUACCCGCUGAACUUAAGCAUAUCAAUAAGCGGAGGA
rnacentral:misc_RNA from 1 species